CCACAGGCUUCAAGAGUCACCCAAGCUGAGCCAGGCUAAUGGAACCAGAAACAUCAUUCUGGCCCCAGAGAGCUGUGAAGGAAGCCCAAGAAGCCCUAGCUCUGCCCACAGCAAGCUCGCUGGUGAGAGGGCACGGGGCUGGGGCAGACACUGGCUUGAGGGUACCUGCGGGAGAGGGGUGAAGACAUAAGUAAGCUCAGGUCCACUGAGCCGGGGCUGGAAGCUGCCAGAAGAGGCGAGGGUGCUUGUGUGUGCGCCUGCGUGUCCUGUUGUGGUCUAUCUAUCGUUAGUACCUGGUCUCUAGAUGCACGGGAGAUGAUACUGAGGAGCACUUCUUCCAAUAGAUACCACAGAACCACUGGAGGCCACACUCUCGCCUGUGUCCAUUGACUCAGCUGCUAGUGGGGAUACCAUGCUGGACACGACAGGGGAUGUCACUGCGGAAUAUGUGAAGGAUUUCCUUGGGUGAGGCCAGCUGCCCUCUCCUAAGCCUCCAUUCCCAGGGCAACUUGAGGUCUUUUUACUCCAGCCCUUCUGAUUACUGCCCCUCCCCAGCUCUCCCGAGGACUCUGAGAAGAACCUGCGGAACCUGGGAGCAGAUGAUGCUGGUCGGGCCUACACCCUUCUGAUUGAAUGAGGUGCUGUGGGGCAGCUUGGCCUUAUCACACAGCGGCUGCCAUCCCUCCAGCUGGAACCCUGGCAGGCUUCUAUUAUGGCAUCACUCCUGGAAGC
rnacentral:lncRNA from 1 species